rnacentral:rRNA from 1 species
GUGAGUCAUCGAAUCUUUGAACGCACAUUGCGCUCCCUGGUAUUCCGGAGAGCAUGCCUGUUUGAGCGUCAGUAAACUCUUCAAACCCCGUAUGGGGUUUGGUCUUGGACCGUUGCGUCAGGCCUUAUGUGCCCGAUGCUGGCCUAAAAUGCAUUGGCCGGGCCGCAACCCCUGGGCCUUAGCGUAAUAAGUUGAAUACUCAACGACUUCGCUAGGAACGUCCGCGGGAAGGCCCUGCCUUAAGCACCCACUAUUUUAAAUUUUGACCUCAGAUCAGGCAGGGAUACCCGCUGAACUUAAGCAUAUCAAUAAGCGGAGG